rnacentral:rRNA from 1 species
CGCUUGCUACAGGCUUAACACAUGCAAGUCGAGGGACAGCAUGGUCUUAGCUUGCUAAGGCCGAUGGCGACCGGCGCACGGGUGAGUAACACGUAUCCAACCUGCCGUCUACUCUUGGACAGCCUUCUGAAAGGAAGAUUAAUACAAGAUGGCAUCAUGAGUCCGCAUGUUCACAUGAUUAAAGGUAUUCCGGUAGACGAUGGGGAUGCGUUCCAUUAGAUAGUAGGCGGGGUAACGGCCCACCUAGUCUUCGAUGGAUAGGGGUUCUGAGAGGAAUGUCCCCCACAUUGGAACUGAGACACGGUCCAAACUCCUACGGGAGGCAGCAGUGAGGAAUAUUGGUCAAUGGGCGCAGGCCUGAACCAGCCAAGUAGCGUGAAGGAUGACUGCCCUAUGGGUUGUAAACUUCUUUUAUAAAGGAAUAAAGUCGGGUAUGGAUACCCGUUUGCAUGUACUUUAUGAAUAAGGAUCGGCUAACUCCGUGCCAGCAGCCGCGGUAAUACGGAGGAUCCGAGCGUUAUCCGGAUUUAUUGGGUUUAAAGGGAGCGUAGAUGGAUGUUUAAGUCAGUUGUGAAAGUUUGCGGCUCAACCGUAAAAUUGCAGUUGAUACUGGAUAUCUUGAGUGCAGUUGAGGCAGGCGGAAUUCGUGGUGUAGCGGUGAAAUGCUUAGAUAUCACGAAGAACUCCGAUUGCGAAGGCAGCCUGCUAAGCUGCAACUGACAUUGAGGCUCGAAAGUGUGGGUAUCAAACAGGAUUAGAUACCCUGGUAGUCCACACGGUAAACGAUGAAUACCCGCUGUUUGCGAUAUACGGCAAGCGGCCAAGCGGAAGCGUUAAGUAUUCCACCUGGGGAGUACGCCGGCAACGGUGAAACUCAAAGGAAUUGACGGGGGCCCGCACAAGCGGAGGAACAUGUGGUUUAAUUCGAUGAUACGCGAGGAACCUUACCCGGGCUUAAAUUGCAGAUGAAUUACGGUGAAAGCCGUAAGCCGCAAGGCAUCUGUGAAGGUGCUGCAUGGUUGUCGUCAGCUCGUGCCGUGAGGUGUCGGCUUAAGUGCCAUAACGAGCGCAACCCUUGUUGUCAGUUACUAACAGGUUCCGCUGAGGACUCUGACAAGACUGCCAUCGUAAGAUGUGAGGAAGGUGGGGAUGACGUCAAAUCAGCACGGCCCUUACGUCCGGGGCUACACACGUGUUACAAUGGGGGGUACAGAGGGCCGCUACCACGCGAGUGGAUGCCAAUCCCAAAAACCUCUCUCAGUUCGGACUGGAGUCUGCAACCCGACUCCACGAAGCUGGAUUCGCUAGUAAUCGCGCAUCAGCCACGGCGCGGUGAAUACGUUCCCGGGCCUUGUACACACCGCCCGUCAAGCCAUGGGAGCCGGGGGUACCUGAAGUGCGUAACCGCGAGGAGCGCCCUAGGGUAAAACUGGUGACUG